UACGUAGGGUGCGAGCGUUAAUCGGAAUUACUGGGCGUAAAGCGUGCGCAGGCGGUUUUGUAAGCCAGAUGUGAAAUCCCCGGGCUCAACCUGGGAAUGGCAUUUGGGACUGCAAGGCUUGAGUGCGGCAGAGGAGACUGGAAUUCCUGGUGUAGCAGUGAAAUGCGUAGAUAUCAAGUGGAACACCAGUGGCGAAGGCGAGUCCCUGGACAACUCCUGACACUGAGGCACGAAAGCUAGGGGAGCAAACGGG
rnacentral:rRNA from 1 species